UACGUAGGGGGCGAGCGUUGUCCGGAAUUACUGGGCGUAAAGCGCGCGUAGGUGGCUUGCUAAGACCGAUGUGAAAUCUCCGCGCUUACCGUGGAGAGGUCGUUGGUGACUGGUAGGCUUGGGUUCGGCAGAGGUGAGUGGAAUUCCGGGUGGAGCGGUGAAAUGCGUAGAGAUCCGGAGGAACACCAGUGGCGAAGGCGGCUCACUGGGCCGACACCGACGCUGAGGCGCGAAAGCGUGGGGAGCGAACCGGAUUAGAUACCCGGGUAGUCCACGCCCUAAACGAUGGGUACUAGGCGUGCGGGGUAUCGACCCCCUGCGUGCCGAAGCUAACGUGAGAAGUACCCCGCCUGGGGAGUACGGCCGCAAGGUUGAA
rnacentral:rRNA from 1 species